rnacentral:rRNA from 1 species
UGAUCCUGGCUCAGGAUGAACGCUAGCUACAGGCUUAACACAUGCAAGUCGAGGGGCAGCAUGGUCUUAGCUUGCUAAGGCCGAUGGCGACCGGCGCACGGGUGAGUAACNCGUAUCCAACCUGCCGUCUACUCUUGGACAGCCUUCUGAAAGGAAGAUUAAUACAAGAUGGCAUCAUGAGUCCGCAUGUUCACAUGAUUAAAGGUAUUCCGGUAGACGAUGGGGAUGCG